rnacentral:rRNA from 1 species
UGGGGAAUUUUGGACAAUGGGCGCAAGCCUGAUCCAGCCAUGCCGCGUGAGUGAAGAAGGCCUUCGGGUUGUAAAGCUCUUUCAGCCGGAAAGAAAUCGCACUGGAUAAUACCUUGUGUGGAUGACGGUACCGGAAGAAGAAGCACCGGCUAACUACGUGCCAGCAGCCGCGGUAAUACGUAGGGUGCGAGCGUUAAUCGGAAUUACUGGGCGUAAAGCGUGCGCAGGCGGUUUUGUAAGACAGACGUGAAAUCCCCGGGCUUAACCUGGGAACUGCGUUUGUGACUGCAAAGCUAGAGUACGGCAGAGGGGGGUAGAAUUCCACGUGUAGCAGUGAAAUGCGUAGAUAUGUGGAGGAAUACCGAUGGCGAAGGCAGUCCCCUGGGUCGAUACUGACGCUCAUGCACGGAAGCGUGGGGAGCAAACAGGAUUAGGUACCCUGGUAGUCCACGCCCUAAACGAUGUCAACUAGGUGUUGGGGGAGGAGACUUCCUUAGUACCGCAGCUAACGCGUGAAGUUGACCGCCUGGGGAGUACGGCCGCAAGGUUGA